AGCUCGCGCCCGAGAGGGACCUCCCACCCUUGCGUAUCAUUACUUUGUUGCUUUGGCGCGCGCCCCCCGGGCCACGCGCGCCAGAGGUGAAUCAAACUCUUUUGUACAUGUCGUCUGAGCACUAUUUAAUAGUUA
rnacentral:rRNA from 1 species